rnacentral:rRNA from 1 species
AGUGAAGCGACAAAAGCUCAAAUUUGAAAUCUGGCACCUUCGGUGUCCGAGUUGUAAUUUGAAGAAGGUAACUUUGGAGUUGGCUCUUGUCUAUGUUCCUUGCAACACGACGUCACAGAGGGUGAGAAUCCCGUGCGAUGAGAUGUCCAACUCUCCGCACCGCGCUUUCGAAGAGUCGAGUUGUUUGGGAAUGCAGCUCUAAGUGGGUGGUAAAUUCCAUCUAAAGCUAAAUAUUGGCGAGAGACCGAUAGCGAACAAGUACAGUGAUGGAAAGAUGAAAAGAACUUUGAAAAGAGAGUGAAAAAGUACGUGAAAUUGUUGAAAGGGAAGGGUUUGAGAUCAGACUUGGUAUUUUGUAUGUCUUGCUUUCGGCUGGGGCCUCUGCAGUUUA